ensembl:lncRNA
UGCUACCAUAUUUCCUAAACUGGAUCUACGUGAUGGGUACCAUAUGGGAGGGGGAUGAGUGGAAGACGACCAUUAAUACUACGAAUCUCUCUCUGGUCAUGCCAUUUGGUCUUACUACCUGAUGUUUUCCAGGGGUUGUGAAUGAUCUAUGUUUGUGUUUUCGUCUUACCUGGGUGACAUUUUGAUUUUUUUCAGAGUCGACUCCCGAGCAUGUGAUACAUGUACGGUUCUGAGUUCUGAAGAAUACUUUUGGAGAACCACCUCUUGUGCAUGUUCCACACCUCGGAGUGGACAUCCGCAAGGUCAUUUCGUGAGUUAAAGGCACGAGCUGUUCCCCACCGAGAGAAAUUACGACUCUGGAUAAGUGGAUACGCUGGCUGGAGGGAGCGGAGCAGUCGUUUAUGGUCUGGAUGGACCACACAAAUCUAGAGGACAUCCGCUCUGCUAAGAGGUUAAACUCUCGUCAAGCAAGGUUUGUUCCCAUCUUCUAAAUCCACCUGAACCAGCCGCGGUGAUGCGUUCACUCGCUCCGAACGGUACAACCGCUUUUAAAUGCUUCUACCUUUUGUGGCUCCGUUGCUACACACCCAACUAUGUUCAUCACUGCACUCAGUCACCAAAUAUUCUACCAUCUAUACUGAAAGUGUAGCAGCCGUCACUUGUUACAGUAUUGAUUGAAUGCAAAAACCAAUAUUUGAAAUGUGCCAUUGAUAUUUAAAUGCCAAAGUCAAGAGUUUGUAUUCAUCACAUCGCAUGCCAUAUUUUAUGGAUUCUCUUUGUCAAUAGUAUCCUGUCUUCAGUGCUGUAGUUCUAAGCUAUAUUACUUUUUUAAUAUGUUUGUGUUCUGGUCAUUUUUGUAACAUUCCGGAAGUAAACCGGAGGUUGACAGCGGAAACUAAGCGGCCGCUAGCUGCAGUCCGUUACAUCAAGAUGAAGAGAGCUUUCUGCAUUGGGAGUGAAACGAACAGAGGCGCGACACACAGCGGAGAACUGAGCGUUUCUGCAAGUCGGCAUUCUUAAAAACAUUCUUA